rnacentral:rRNA from 1 species
AAACCGACACAGGUGGUCAGGUAGAGAAUACUAAGGCGUACGAGAUAACUAUGGUUAAGGAACUCGGCAAAAUACCCCCGUAACUUCGGGAGAAGGGGGACCUCGCUUGGUGACCGGACUUGCUCCGUGAGCUGAACGAGGUCGCAGAGACCAGUGAGAAGCGACUGUUUACUAAAAACACAGGUCCGUGCGAAGUCGCAAGACGAUGUAUACGGACUGACGCCUGCCCGGUGCUGGAAGGUUAAGAGGACCCGUUAACCCUUGGGUGAAGCGGAGAAUUUAAGCCCCAGUAAACGGCGGUGGUAACUAUAACCAUCCUAAGGUAGCGAAAUUCCUUGUCGGGUAAGUUCCGACCUGCACGAAUGGCGUAACGACUUCUCAACUGUCUCAACCAUAGACUCGGCGAAAUUGCACUACGAGUAAAGAUGCUCGUUACGCGCGGCAGGACGAGAAGACCCCGGGACCUUCACUAUAGCUUGGUAUUGGCGUUUGGUUCGGUUUGUGUAGGAUAGGUGGGAGACUGUGAAGCAGGCACGCCAGUGUUUGUGGAGUCAUCGUUGAAAUACCACUCUGAUCGUAUUGAACCUCUAACCUCGGACCGUAUAUCCGGUCCAGGGACAGUGCCUGGUGGGUAGUUUAACUGGGGCGG